rnacentral:rRNA from 1 species
AUACGGAGGAUGCGAGCGUUAUCCGGAUUUAUUGGGUUUAAAGGGAGCGUAGGUGGGCUAUUAAGUCAGCUGUGAAAGUUUGGGGCUCAACCUUAAAAUUGCAGUUGAUACUGGUUUCCUUGAGUACGGUACAGGUGGGCGGAAUUCGUGGUGUCGCGGUGAAAUGCUUAGAUAUCACGAAGAACUCCGAUUGCGAAGGCAGCCUGCUGGACUGUAACUGACGCUGAUGCUCGAAAGUGUGGGUAUCAAACAGGAUUAGAUACCCUGGUAGUCCACACAGUAAACGAUGAAUACUCGCUGUUUGCGAUAUACAGUAAGCGGCCAAGCGAAAGCGUUAAGUAUUCCACCUGGGGAGUACGCCGGCAACGGUGAAACUCAAAGGAAUUGACGGGG